ACAGAUGUUAUAUGUGUGGGGGACAGAGGAAGGGGUACAAUUCAAAAAUCAUGUCAACCCCUAUUUUAACUUCCAUAUCACUUUAUUAUGUGAUUUGUAAAGCAACAUGUUUCUUCUGAACUAAUUUAGUCCUAAACAAAGGGGUUGAAUACUUAUGUAACGACUAUAUUUUUGUUAUUUAUUUUAUUUAUUUGUAAAUAUUUCUAGAAUUGUCUUUUCACUUUUACAUUAUGUAUUUUGUGUAGAUAAAUCGGGAAAAAAUUUACAAUUACAUUUAUUUAAAUCCCACUUUGUAACGCAACAAAAUGUGAAAAAAGUUCAAAGUGGUGUCGACUUUCUAUAGGCACUGUAGGUGUUAUGAGAGUUUAUGUAGUACUGUAGGUGUUAUGAGAGUUUAUGUAGUACUGUAGGUGUUAUGAGAGUUUAUGUAGUACUGUAUGUGUUAUGAGAGUUUAUGUAGUACUGUAUGUGUUAUGAGAGUUUAUGUAGUACUGUAGGUGUUAUGAGAGUUUAUGUAGUACUGUAUGUGUUAUGAGAGUUUAUGUAGUACUGUAUGUGUUAUGAGAGUUUAUGUAGUACUGUAUGUGUUAUGAGAGUUUAUGUAGUACUGUAUGUGUUAUGAGAGUUUAUGUAGUACUGUAUGUGUUAUGAGAGUUUAUGUAGUACUGUAUGUGUUAUGAGAGUUUAUGUAGUACUGUAGGUGUUAUGAGAGUUUAUGUAGUACUGUAUGUGUUAUGAGAGUUUAUGUAGUACUGUAUGUGUUAUGAGAGUUUAUGUAGUACUGUAUGUGUUAUGAGAGUUUAUGUAGUACUGUAGGUGUUAUGAGAGUUUCUGUCGUACUGUAGGUGUUAUGAGAGUUUGUAGUACUGCAGGUGUUAUGAGAGUUUGUAGUACUGCAGGUGUUAUGUGAGUUUAUGUAGUACUGUAUGUGUUAUGAGAGUUUCUGUAGUACUGUAGGUGUUAUGAGAGUUUAUGUAGUACUGUAUGUGUUAUGAGAGUUUAUGUAGUACUGUAUGAGUUAUGAGAGUUUAUGUAGUAUGUGUUAUGAGAGUUUAUGUAGUACUGUAUGAGUUAUGAGAGUUUAUGUAGUACUGUAUGUGUUAUGAGAGUUUAUGUAGUACUGUAUGUGUUAUGAGAGUUUAUGUAGUACUGUAUGUGUUAUGAGAGUUUAUGUAGUACUGUAGGUGUUAGGAAAGUUUCUGUAGUAUGUGUUAUGAAAGUUUAUGUAGUACUGUAGGUGUUAUGAGAGUUUAUGUAGUACUGUAUGUGUUAUGAGAAUUUAUGUAGUACUGUAGGUGUUAUGAGAGUUUAUGUAGUAUGUGUUAGUAGAGUUUCUGUAGUACUGUAGGUGUUAGGAGAGUUUCUGUAGUAUGUGUUAUGAGAGUUUAUGUAGUACUGUAUGUGUUAUGAGAGUUUAUGUAGUACUGUAGGUGUUAUGAGAGUUUAUGUAGUACUGUAUGUGUUAUGAGAGUUUCUGUAGUACUGUAUGUGUUAUGAGAGUUUAUGUAGUACUGUAGGUGUUAUGAGAGUUUAUGUAGUACUGUAUGUGUUAUGAGAGUUUAUGUAGUACUGUAUGUGUUAUGAGAGUUUAUGUAGUACUGUAGGUGUUAUGAGAGUUUAUGUAGUACUGUAUGUGUUAUGAGAGUUUAUGUAGUACUGUAUGUGUUAUGAGAGUUUAUUUAGUACUGUAUGUGUUAUGAGAGUUUAUGUAGUACUGUAGGUGUUAUGAGAGUUUAUGUAGUACUGCAUGUGUUAUGAGAGUUUAUGUAGCACUGUAGGUGUUAUGAGAGUUUAUGUAGUAUGUGUUAUGAGAGUUUCUGUAGUACUGUAGGUGUUAUGAGAGUUUAUGUAGUACUGUAUGUGUUAUGAGAGUUUCUGUAGUACUGUAUGUGUUAUGAGAGUUUAUGUAGUACUGUAGGUGUUAUGAGAGUUUAUGUAGUACUGUAUGUGUUAUGAGAGUUUAUGUAGUACUGUAUGUGUUAUGAGAGUUUAUGUAGUACUGUAGGUGUUAUGAGAGUUUAUGUAGUACUGUAUGUGUUAUGAGAGUUUAUGUAGUACUGUAUGUGUUAUGAGAGUUUAUGUAGUACUGUAUGUGUUAUGAGAGUUUAUGUAGUACUGUAGGUGUUAUGAGAGUUUAUGUAGUACUGUAUGUGUUAUGAGAGUUUAUGUAGUACUGUAUGUGUUAUGAGAGUUUAUUUAGUACUGUAUGUGUUAUGAGAGUUUAUGUAGUACUGUAGGUGUUAUGAGAGUUUAUGUAGUACUGCAUGUGUUAUGAGAGUUUAUGUAGCACUGUAGGUGUUAUGAGAGUUUAUGUAGUACUGCAUGUGUUAUGAGAGUUUAUGUAGCACUGUAGGUGUUAGUAGAGUUUCUGUAGUACUGUAGGUGUUAGGAGAGUUUCUGUAGUAUGUGUUAUGAGAGUUUAUGUAGUACUGUAUGUGUUAUGAGAGUUUAUGUAGUACUGUAGGUGUUAUGAGAGUUUAUGUAGUACUGUAGGUGUUAUGAGAGUUUAUGUAGUACUGUAGGUGUUAUGAGAGUUUAUGUAGUACUGUAGGUGUUAUGAGAGUUUCUGUAGUACUGUAGGUGUUAUGAGAGUUUAUGUAGUAUGAGAUUUUAUGUAGUAUGUGUUAGUAGAGUUUCUGUAGUACUGUAGGUGUUACGAGAGUUUAUGUAGUACUGUAUGUGUUAUGAUAGUUUAUGUAGUACUGUAGGUGUUAUGAGAGUUUAUGUAGUACUGUAGGUGUUAUGAGAGUUUAUGUAGUACUGUAUGUGUUAUGAGAGUUUAUGUAGUACUGUAUGUGUUAUGAGAGUUUAUGUAGUAUGUGUUAUGAGAGUUUAUGUAGUACUGUAGGUGUUAUGAGAGUUUAUGUAGU